rnacentral:lncRNA from 1 species
GCUGACGGCCCCUCCUCUCCCCAGCUUUGAACUGGACGCUGCCUGGAGCCCCCUUCACAAGACGCACUCUGUCCUGCUGACCAGCUGGGACCUGCUGGAAAACCUCUUGCCUGACCCCCGAGACCUGCCGUCCUCCUUACAGCGCCUUCCCGGGAAGCCUCCUGAGCGUCCUCAGGGGCAGCCCCUGCCUAGGAUGAGCAGGCGAUUUCAGUUUACCUGGCCCGGGACUCGGCUGUGGACCUCGGCUGUGGACACCGCCGUGGGCCACAGGGGAGGCUGGGCCCCUGCUGCGUGCUGUUGGGUGAGCCGGGGCCCUAACCUUCGGGCUUCCCCACCUCUGGUGCCCUCCCGGCUUUUGUUUCCAACAAAAAUCAUCAUCAGUUGUUUGUUGAGGCUGCCCAGCCCCAUGAGGGGUGCAGGGGACGGAAGCCUCUCCUCUCUGAGGGGUGUUAUGAGCUGAGCUGUGUCCCCCUCAUGUCCAUAUGUUGGAGCUCCAACCCCCAGAACCUCACAAUAUGAGUGCAUUAGGCGCUGGGGUCUUAGAGAGUAAGUGGGUUAAAACAGGGCCGUCAGUGUGAGCUCCAUGCAAUGCGACGGGUGUCCUUAGGAGCAGAGGACACUAGGGCCAGGCACACACAGAGGGACAACAUGUGAAGACACAGGGAGAAGAUGGCAUCUACAGGCCGAGGAGGGAGGCCACAGAAGGAACCGGCCCUGCGGAUACCUUGACCUUGACCUUGGACUUUCAGCCUCCACAACUAGGAAGCUGAAUUUCUGAUGCUCAAGCCACUCAGUCUGGGGUCCUUCAUCCCUAGCGAAUGAUACAAGGAACUUGGAAUUCCAAGAUGGAAGAAGCCCAAAGCGUGUUGAACCUAGCCGCCAUGGACAAGGGCACUGUCACCCGGCCCCUGGGAAAGACAGGAAGGAAGGACCGCGGAGGGCGCCACGGUCAGGGGCUAGGAGGAGCUGGCUGAAAGGGCCUUGAGUUCAGAACUGGGAGGGCCCUUGUGUCCUCCCUAGUUGGAAGAAUGAGGAAACGGGCCCAGAGAGGAGGAAGGACCUGCCCAGGUCUGAUCAUGGAGGAGGAAAGCUCCAGCCCCGCCCCGCCCCGCCCAGGCACGCCAUCCUGCGGUUGUCAGGUUCAGUGAUCAACCACUCUGGGGUGCUGGGGAUCUGGCCUUGAGGAACCGCAGUUUUGAGGAGGAAGCCGCCUGGCCACUGGGGCGGGGAAAAACAGCUGCUGUGACUUCACACCUGUAUUUGCAGAGAUUCUUCCUCUAAGCCCCCCGCCCCCCCGUGCUCAGGCAACCAAGAGCUUCCCUUGUGAUGCCCUGGAUCUGGGGUGGAGUAGAGAACAAAGGGGACCCUGGACACUAUCUGGGGGCAGGAGAGACUGAGGUCCCCUAGGGGCUGACCCUUGAGCUGGUCUAGCCACAAGGACCCAGAAGGGAGGCAGGCCAGGUCCCAUCCUCUCUCUGCAGUUCCCCCUGCAUUAGACAACUUCCUGCUGCUGCACUGAAGUACUCCAGGCUGGGUAAUGUGGUAAAGAAAAGAAAUGAUAGCUCCCAGUUCCGGAGGUUAAGGGCAUAGCACCUGCAUCAGCAGACUUUAGCUCAUGUCUUUCCUCAGGUGCUGCUUUCGAUCAGGAUCUCUCGGGGAGAACAAUGAUCUCUGUGAUUCGCUUGUACGUGUCUUCGGCCCAGGUGGGGCUUCAGUGGCUUUUCCUUUUAUCUGACUGAUGGCGAAAGACCCCUUUGGAAUUAAAAGUAUUUACAUCU